CCAAUAGCGUAUAUUAAAGUUGUUGCAGUUAAAAAGCUCGUAGUUGAAUUUCGGGAUUGACACAUCGGUCGUGCCUUAAGGGGUAUGAACUGGUGUAGUCAAUUUCUCACCUUCUGGAGAACGGCGAUGCCCUUAAUUGGGUGUCACGGGGAACCAGGACCUUUACUUUGAAAAAAUUAGAGUGUUUAAAGCAGGCAUUUUGCUUGAAUACAUUAGCAUGGAAUAAUAAAAUAGGACGGCAUGAUUCUAUUUUGUUGGUUUCUAGGAUCACCGUAAUGAUUAAUAGGGAUAGUUGGGGGCAUUAGUAUUCAAUUGUCAGAGGUGAAAUUCUUGGAUUUAUUGAAGACUAACUACUGCGAAAGCAUUUGCCAAGAAUGUUUUCAUUAAUCAAGAACGAAAGUUGGAGGUUCGAAGACGAUUAGAUACCGUCCUAGUUCCAACCAUAAACGAUGCCAACUAGCGAUUAGCUGCUGUUAAUUAAACGACACAGCUAGCAGCUUCCG
rnacentral:misc_RNA from 1 species